UUGACCGAUUGUAGGAAAUUGGCUUAUGCAAUUGUGGGUGCUGGCUCAGUGAGUCUGAAAUCCACAAGACAGACCAUCAGGAAGAGGAGGCUGGUCUCUCAUUUCCAGAUCCUUAAGUUACUCACACCUGCAAAGUUCAUGUUGCCAUAUAAGGUAAGGUAUGCACAGGUUUCAGGGAUUAGGAAGUGGACAGGUUGGGAGGCCAUUAUUGGGGGGGCCCUACCACACUCCCCCGCACACAUCGCCCUGCCUCAUUCAUUCAUUCUCUCAUUUUUCCAAGCAUAGCUCACCCAUCUGGACUAGGCCUGUGCUGAGGACCGCAGGCACUGAGUAAGGUAGCCUGCAGCCCUGCCCUCGAGGGAAGCCACUGUCCACUGGAGAGACAGUCACAGAAAAGGGCCCCCGAUCUCUCUUUCAUGAGCUUCCUCCUGCGGCUAAGUCCUAGGGACCCAAGAGAGAACCAGGGUGGAUGCCAAAGCAGACUCCAGGUUCAAAUUCAGGCUCCAAGCACUGAAAGCUGAGUGAACUGGGGCAAGUCUCCUUUCUUUCCUGUCAUAUUAGGGUAAUUCCCCACCGUCAUUCCUGGCUGAAGUCCAUGGCUCAGGAGAAUUUCUGCCCACAGUUACAAAGCCCCAGUUGCUUAACCUCCUGCUGGAAUUAACCACAUCCGCAGCCCUUUCGAGAAAAAUCUCCAGGAAAGUGGUGACUGUAUCCGCCUGUUCACCAGUGUCCCUAGCGUCAUUCACAGGGUCUGGCACUUGGUGGGAGCACAAUAAAUUCCUUCCUCCCUGCCUCCUAUCCUUCCAACAGCACACGUUCAUCAGUUCAUAAUGUGGAGGGCAGGUCCUAGGCUGAGACUUAGGCACAUCUUUCUUUACUUUACAGCCAAGGAAAGGGAGACUCAGAGAGGUGAAGUGACUUGCCUAAGGUCACCCAGCAGGUGAGGCUUCAGGCCCAAAGAGGGACAGGGCAUUGUCCAUGUCACUCAGCGGGUCAGUGGCAAAGCCAGGACCAGACUCCGGACAAAGCGCCCCCGCUGCUUCCCACGUGGCUGGAGCUCAGGCUGGCGUCAGGGAAGACUUCCAGAAGCAGGGAUUGCUAGGCACUCUGACCCUGGGCAGUUCUUCGGCACGUGGCACAGACGGUUGGCACAAGAUGCUGCCCCGGUAAGGGGCCUACCUACUUUGUAACCUGGGUGACCGUGCCCUGGUUGGGCUCAGGUCACAGCAGCCUGCCAGGGCAGUCAGGGGAGGAGAAGGCCACCUGAUACAGGCUGUCUCAUGUAAUCUUCCCAGUGGGACCUGAUGUAGGAAUCAUGCCCUUUUACAGAAUCUGAACCCUGGCGAGAGACACUCAGGGUGAGAGCAUCUGAUGGCCACAUCCUGGCGAGGUGGUCCACACACUCAGCCACUGAAGAGGGAGUGAUGGAGCUUAUGAGGAAACAGCAAGAAGACAGUCAUCUGUAAACGCGGAAGGAGACCAUGCUGGCACCCUGAUCCGGGACUCCCGGCCUCCAGAACUGUGAGGAAUAAAUGUCGGUUGCUUAAGCCACCCAGGCUGUGGAGUUCUGUUAUGGCAGCUACACUGAGACAGCUAAGACACGGGGACUGGGGUCCGUCUGGUGGGAACAUUGUCGAAUCAGCUGGGGAAAGGGAAGGAGGGAGAGUCGCGAGCCCCAAGGCCAGUGAGAUUCCCUGCAUUCUGGCUGUGGGACGGACCUAGGCAAGUCCCUUUGCUCUCUGAGCUUCAGUGUCUGUGAAAGGAGGCGACGAGCAUACUUCUCUCAAAGGGUCCCUGAAAGGCACAUGGGGACAGUGCAGGCGAAGAGCUUGGAGCACAGCCGUGUCCCUCCUCGCCGGGGCUCAAGUGCAGUCACAGGAGGAGAUUAAUAUGUGCAGGCAGCAAAUCAUUAGUGAGUGCCUGCUGUGUGCCAGCUGCAGAGCUAAGGAUGUCACCUAUAUUCUUUCACUUAAUCUUCAAAGUGGUGUCAACUAUCCUCAAUCCACAGAUGAGAGCUGUGAGGCACAGAGCAGUUAGAUAAGUUAUCCUAAGGCCACUCAGCAGGCCAGCAGGGCGCUGAGGCUUGAACCCAAGCGCUUUCCAUCAGGAGCCCACAUCUUAACCAGGACUCACGCCCAAACCUCUCCCUGCUCUAAGAUUCCCUGAUUGCAG